rnacentral:lncRNA from 1 species
GGAAUCCCAGGAGCUACUGAAUGAUUGUGGCACACUUCUUUAACUAUGUCAGGACUUCUCAGUUGUCCAUUCCCAAACUCUUCAAGAUGUCUUGAGUCCGCCAUACAGGAGACCCUGUGGUCAUCUUUAACUGUGUUGACCUUUGCAUUGCUGAUACAAAGGCAGCCUCACUAAGCUAGAUCUGUACCUAAGGAAUUGAGCAUCUAAGAACGAGCCGGGACUGUGGCCCACACUGUGCUAACAGUGACUGUGUUCUUUGCAUGUUAAGAGGACUUGGUGGUAGUUGAAAUUGCUCGUCCUUACAUGUGGAUGCUCCUUAAUACUGUGCUUUAUGAAGGACCUCAGAGGCCUUCCACAGCAGAGUGGGUGCAGCUGGAGCCUAGAGCAGGAGCUGGGUUACUGGGAGUGUGUGCCUGGCAUGACCUUGGGUCUGUCUGUAGAUUUAAAAAAAAAAAAGACAAGACUUUAAAGUAUAGCAGUUUAAUUCUGCUGUACUUUACAUUUUUUAAUUUCUGUAUAUAUUUUUAAAUUACAUUAAACUUGUAAUUGAGUAAAGAGAUGGUUUUUUGUUUUUUGGAUUCCCCCCCCCAUGCUCCA